rnacentral:rRNA from 1 species
AACGAACGCUGGCGGCAUGCCUAACACAUGCAAGUCGAACGAUUGCCUUCGGGUGAUAGUGGCGCACGGGUGCGUAACGCGUGGGAAUCUGCCCUUAGGUUCGGAAUAACAGCUGGAAACGGCUGCUAAUACCGGAUGAUAUCGCGAGAUCAAAGAUUUAUCGCCUGAGGAUGAGCCCGCGUUGGAUUAGGUAGUUGGUGGGGUAAGGGCCUACCAAGCCGACGAUCCAUAGCUGGUCUGAGAGGAUGAUCAGCCACACUGGGACUGAGACACGGCCCAGACUCCUACGGGAGGCAGCAGUGGGGAAUAUUGGACAAUGGGCGCAAGCCUGAUCCAGCAAUGCCGCGUGAGUGAUGAAGGCCCUAGGGUUGUAAAGCUCUUUUACCCGGGAAGAUAAUGACUGUACCGGGAGAAUAAGCCCCGGCUAACUCCGUG